CUGGAAGUCCUAGUGUUGCUUAGUGGCUGCAUGGGGAUGAACUGGAGACAGAAAGCAGAAGCUGUAGGGAACUUGCUUCUAUCCACGGCACGCUCUGGCUAUGGAAUUCGAAAAAGAUUGUAGGACAAAUUAUCAACCAAACAUAUUUCUAAAUAUAAAAGCGUAAAGUCAGAUAAAACUUAUGAAGAUAGUAACUUCAAAAGUGGAAAUAAUAUUACAGGAUGGCUGUGUUGGGUUUAUCCCUGGAAAGCAAGAAUGGUUUAAUUUUUGAAAAAUGUGUUACUAUAAUUUACCAUGUUAAGAAAACGUGAGAGGAUGCCCGCUGCCAUGUGCAGCCAGUGUGUGCCUCUGUGAUGAGUGAGUGUGUGUAGUGCUGAAAUGAUGGAGAAAGAGAACCAGAACAGCGUGUGCAGUAUGAAGACAGAAGGAACCGGAAAUGAGAGGGCGGGACCGGAAAUGGGAGGGUGGUGAAGAAUGGCCUGAUAGGAGUAGCCCGAGCUGCCACCAGAGGCCAUGAUGUUCUAGCCCACGUUGAUGUCCUGGCCCAUGCUGCCACAUAGGGACCGUUCUGGGUCCGUGGCCCUGCUGCAGCAAGAGUCUGUGUUGAUGAUAUAUGUCUGUGGCCCAUGUUACCACCAAAGACCAUGUGGAUGCUCCUGGUCUGAGAUACCGCUUGGGACCGUGUUGAUGUCUGAAGGCUGAGCUGAACUGCAAGUUUACCUUCCACCUCGGCAGCAUGGGAAAGCUGGUCCUGAUGGUCAAGAUGUAGAACUCUCAGCUCCUUCUCCAGCACCAUGUCUGCCUGUGCACUGCAAUAUUUCCCUCCAUGAUGAUAAUGGACUAUAACUCUGAAACUGUAAGCCAGCCCCACGUUGAAAUACCUUGUUUAAAAAAUACCCAAGAGACCACAGUCUUCAUAGCAUCAAUAUUCAUCAUAGCUAAAACAUGAAAAUAAUCUAGGGGGCUGGAGAGAUGACUCAGCAGUUAAGAGCACUGACUGCUCUUCCAGAGAUCCUGAGUUCAAUACCCAUCAACCACAUGGUGUCUCACAACCAUCUGUAAUGAGAUGUGAUGCCCUCUUCUGGUGUGUCUGAAGACAGCUACAGUGUACUCAUCAUAUAUAUAUAAAACAAAUAAAUAAAAUCUUUUUUAAAAAA
rnacentral:lncRNA from 1 species